rnacentral:rRNA from 1 species
GUGUCCUACGGGGGGCAGCAGUGAGGAAUAUUGGUCAAUGGUCGGGAGACUGAACCAGCCAAGCCGCGUGAGGGAAGACGGCCCUAUGGGUUGUAAACCUCUUUUGUCGGAGAACAAAACCCGGGACGUGUCCCGGACUGCGUGUAUCCGAAGAAAAAGCAUCGGCUAACUCCGUGCCAGCAGCCGCGGUAAUACGGAGGAUGCGAGCGUUAUCCGGAUUUAUUGGGCGUAAAGGGAACGCAGGCGGUCUUUUAAGUCUGAUGUGAAAGCCUUCGGCUUAACCGGAGUAGUGCAUUGGAAACUGG